AAUGAACGCUGGCGGCAUGCCUAACACAUGCAAGUCGAACGAAGGCUUCGGCCUUAGUGGCGCACGGGUGCGUAACGCGUGGGAAUCUGCCCUCAGGUACGGAAUAACAGCGAGAAAUUGCUGCUAAUACCGGAUGAUAUCGCGAGAUCAAAGAUUUAUCGCCUGAGGAUGAGCCCGCGUAGGAUUAGCUAGUUGGUGUGGUAAAGGCGCACCAAGGCGACGAUCCUUAGCUGGUCUGAGAGGAUGAUCAGCCGCACUGGGACUGAGACACGGCCCAGACUCCUACGGGAGGCAGCAGUGGGGAAUAUUGGACAAUGGGCGAAAGCCUGAUCCAGCAAUGCCGCGUGAGUGAUGAAGGCCUUAGGGUUGUAAAGCUCUUUUACCCGGGAUGAUAAUGACAGUACCGGGAGAAUAAGCUCCGGCUAACUCCGUGCCAGCAGCCGCAGUAA
rnacentral:rRNA from 1 species